GUUGAUGUUUUUUCCAUUGAGGCAGUGGCUCUUGGAGAAUUGGAGAAAAUUUGGAUUAGUCAUGAUGGGACAGGUCCAGUUUUCACAGGAAAUGGCUGGUUUCUUGAGUGCGUUGUUCUUAAAUGUGAAGAGGAAGACGACAACCAGGAGGCACUGUUCCCGUGCAACAGGGUCUGGCACUUACCGCUCCCUGACCCUGUAGAGGCUCCCGGUGAAGCGAGAACUCUACGAAGCAACUCAUCCCAGCCUCACCCGCGGCCUCAGAGGGGCUCCAUGACACUUCUGUUCCACAGGUGAGGAAGCUGAGACGCCCAGAGGUCAGAUUUCUUACCUAAACACGAACAGGGUUCAGGGCCGGGGGGUCUGACUCUUGAACUGAACUGUCCCAUUGGGGAUUAAAAGCUCGUGUCUGUUGAGCUCCUGAACUGCCCCUGUCCCAAAUCAAGGUGUGAGGAGGUGUAAAAGGCAUGUGCCAGCUGCCAGAGACGAGGAGUCAGUAAGACUGUGGUUGUGGAAGUCCAUUCGGGCUGCUGUAACAGCACCCGGCAGUCCG
rnacentral:lncRNA from 1 species